rnacentral:rRNA from 1 species
UACGGGGGGGGCAAGCGUUGUUCGGAAUUACUGGGCGUAAAGGGCUCGUAGGUGGCCUACUAAGUCAGACGUGAAAGCCCCCGGCUUAACCGGGGAGGGUCGUUGGGGACGGCGGGGCUUGAGGGCGGGAGAGGGUGGUGGAAUUCCCGGUGUAGUGGUGAAAUGCGUAGAGAUCGGGAGGAACACCCGUGGCGAAGGCGGCCACCUGGGCCGACCCUGACGCUGAGGCGCGAAGGCGUGGGGAGCGAACGGG